AUUGAACGCUGGCGGCAUGCCUAACACAUGCAAGUCGAACGGGGUGUAGCAAUACAUCUAGUGGCGGACGGGUGAGGAAUACAUAGGAAUUUGCCCUUAAGUGGGGGAGUAGUCCGGGGAAACGUACGGUUUAAUACCGCAUGAUCUCGUGAGAGCAAAGACAGGGGACCGGCAAGGCCUUGCGCUUUUGGUAGAAGCCUAUGUCGGAUUAGCUAGUUGGUAGGGUAAUGGCCUACCAAGGCAACGAUCCGUAACUGGUCUGAGAGGAUGAUCAGUCACACC
rnacentral:rRNA from 1 species